UCCUUCCCCGGACGGCGUCGGCGGUCAGUGCGACUCCGAGGCUUUGCGAGAUGCGACCGUCCGACGCCGCCGCCACCGUUGCCGAUGACUUGCGGUAGGCCUUUGUCGUGACAUUUGAGUUUUCUAUCCGCCGACAGUGGCGGACGUUUAAACGCUCCACCGAUACUACAAACGCCAUCACCAUUUACUGUUGGUUGAGCUCGUCGUCUCCCACUGGGAGACAUAACUAUGGACCGUCAGCGCUGGGUGGAAAGAGAGGCACCUUCCCGAACGUCGCAAUGCAAGAAGUGGAGAGGGCCAAGGCUAGACAUAUGGCAAAAAAACAAAACAGCAAAGUAGAACGGCAAAAAUCAUCAGACAAAACGUUAUCCAAAGCACCAAGUAUUGAGACCAAAAAACAAGAAAAAUGAAAAACAAUAUUCACAUAUUAAAGAUUUUAUUUUUUUAGCACUUUCACUGAAAAUGAUAACAACACAGUAAUUCGUAAUCAAACAUACUUCUUUAAGUAGGUACACUAUAAUAUUGUUAUUGUAAUUUAUAACACACAUCAUAAUUUCAUUUUAUAUUUACAUAAUAAUGAUCGUGUUAAUUUUACCUCAAAUGUUAUCACGUUUCAUUUAUUCAACGACCAAACAUAUUUUGUAACGUUUAGAGUGCAGAACAACUAUAAUAGAAAUAUAUUAUGUAUUAUCUAUCUGUUGUAAAAUAAUUUUAUGUCACACAUAUAUUUUUUUUUUUAUAAAUUUAAAGCUCAAACAUCUUUGAAUGUUUAAUAAUACUAUACGUACUUUGUAAGCGUCUUAGACGUAUGUCACACACAUUCAUAUUUAUAUUAUUACACCUAUACUAUAUUUAUAGACUUAUGCGUAAUAUGAAUGGAAAUAAAUAAAUAUAGUUUCAUUUUAACAAUUUUUAUGAUUUAUACUCUCAUAAUCUAACAUGAAUAAACUACAAUAUAUUUUAUUUAUCACUA